CAGAACUGACUUUCAUCCAUAAAAAUAUUGCAAGUGAACCACUUGUUUGCUUCUUACCUCUGUUAGCCUGUUUUAUAUAAGCCGGCGUACUCCUUUAUGAGGACUUAGGCACAGGCAUGUUGAUCCUUGCAUCCACACAAGAAUUCUAUGAGCUAAACACAUGUUCUGCCAUUGGCACAUUGCUGCUGUCCUGCCAAAACCCUCCUCCGUGCUCGGCUUCCGCAGCAAUGAGCAUGGGUGGAGGAAGGAAGGAACAGCUGGGAGGUGAUUAUGGUUUCCUGAUGCCCUGCCCCACCCAUGGCACAGGGACCAAACAACAAAACCAAUGGAGGGGGCCUGUGCAGCCAAGAAGAGAAACGUUUGUGUUCAACGUUGAGGAUUUGAAGCAGAUUUGAUUGAGGGUUCCAAAAAAAUGGUGCUGCUUUGUGAAGUUGCAUUGUGAGCUCUUGGCUGGGACCGUGACGGAAAUGCUUCCAGAGGAAAAAGCCCCAGAGAAAAUAAAUGCUAAAGAUGUCUUCA
rnacentral:lncRNA from 1 species